rnacentral:lncRNA from 1 species
GGUUUGCUUCCAGAGUCUCACAGUUUUCAACUGUUUAGUUAUACACAUUCUCAAAUGUGUCUGCUGUGCACAGUGUAUGAAUUUUCUACAGUUCGAUGGCUUUCGUAAUUUGUGAAGCUGAAGGAAAAACAAACGUAGAGCUUCCUAUGCUCAAGCUCCUUCCUCUAUAUGCAGAAAUUAAUAUGUCAAAUGUGAAUCAACAACUGAAAGAGAUGUUAAACAAAGAAGACGUAUAGAAUACAUUUUAUGGUUAGUGUUUGAGAACACGUCUCGUUCAUAGAACGAUGAAAGCAAAUAAGGAUUUCCUUUUUAGUAUGGGCGCAUGUUCUUUUUUUUACUUGUCACUAUUAGAAAUGGAUAAGGGAACCAGGUUUAAUAACUAAAACAAAUCGUUCAAUUUGAACCACUUAACAUACACUGUAUCAAAGAGUACAGUGAGUACUAAAUUUUUUUUAAAGACUGACAAGGUUCAUUUCCCUAAUAUUAUUGUAAAAUAGACAUUGCAAUAAAGAUACACGUUUUAA